rnacentral:rRNA from 1 species
GAUGAACGCUGGCGGCGUGCUUAACACAUGCAAGUCGAACGGAAAGGCCCUGCUUUUGUGGGGUGCUCGAGUGGCGAACGGGUGAGUAACACGCGUGUAACCUGCCCUUGACUUUGGGAUAACUUCAGGAAACUGGGGCUAAUAUCGGAUAGGAGCUCCUGCUGCAUGGUGGGGGUUGGAAAGUUUCGGCGGUUGGGGAUGGACUCGCGGGUUAUCCGCUUGUUGGUGGGGUAGUGGCUUACCAAGGUUGUGACGGGUAGCCGGCCUGAGAGGGUGACCGGCGACAUUGGGACUGAGGUACGGCCCAGACUGCUACGGGAGGCAGCAGUGGGGAAUAUUGCACAAUGGGCGGAAGCCUGAUGCAGCAACGCCGCGUGCGGGAUGACGGCCUUCGGGUGGUAAACCGCUUUCGCCUGAAACGAAGCGUGAGUGACGGUAAUGGGUAAAAAAGCACCGGCUAACUACGUG